ACAGCCGGAAGGCAGUAACUGGCAGCCGGAUGGUAGGCGGGACCUGCCAUUCGGUGGGAGCCAAUCAGUAUCGACCAACGUGGGCGCAACCAAUCAGAUAUAACUGCACCCAAACGCUUCAGUAAUGGUUGCGAUUGAUCAAACGUUGCCAGAUGCUGUCCUGUUGGAAAUUCUUCUUUACGUGAUCCUGGAGGAGGGUGAUGCUACAUUACUAAGUCCGUCUUUGGUUUGUUCCAAAUUCAGAAGUCUGUUGUACUGUAUACAGACUCCUUUCGAAAGGGGGCACAAUCCAGCUGGCUUGACUGAGUAUCUUCUUUUACAUAUUUGAUUAGAGGUUUAAAAAGGUGCCAUAACAUUACAUUUCUCAGUUGCCAUGUCUGAAUGUUUAUCUUUGUAAUAAUGCUGUUUUCAUGCUCCUCAUCUCAAUAUACAGGUGGAACAAAAUGGAGAAAAAGUCUGAGCCAUGUCAGGAAUUCAACAAAAUGUACACCCUGCAGACACUGCGACGAGGUUUACAACAAUUGCUUACCAGGUCACUGCAGUCACCCGGAUCGAGUACGUAUCCAGACCAGAUGGUGGAUCGCACCUAGAAUGGACUUCUCCUGCCCUGAAAGACAGCGGAGACCAGGACAACUAGAGCCCCAGAUACAGAUCCCCUGUAAAGACCUUGUUUUUUCUCCAUUUUGUCACCGGUGGAGUUUUGGUUCCUUGUCGCCUCUGGCUUGCUUCGUUGUGGUCACUUCAUUUACAGUGAUAUCAUUGACAUGAUUGCAAACGAUUCCACAGAUACUAUUUAAACUGAACCGAGCUGAAGGAUGACCUCACUGAAUUGAAUGAUAAACUCUCUUUUAAACUGACUACAAACUGAGUUUACUAAUGUCCUUCUGCAUUAUUGACUGACACACUAUUUUUCUA